GAGUAAUGUCUGGGAAACUGCCUGAUGGAGGGGGAUAACUACUGGAAACGGUGGCUAAUACCGCAUAACGUCGCAAGACCAAAGAGGGGGACCUUCGGGCCUCUUGCCAUCAGAUGUGCCCAGAUGGGAUUAGCUUGUUGGUGAGGUAACGGCUCACCAAGGCGACGAUCCCUAGCUGGUCUGAGAGGAUGACCAGCCACACUGGAACUGAGACACGGUCCAGACUCCUACGGGAGGCAGCAGUGGGGAAUAUUGCACAAUGGGCGCAAGCCUGAUGCAGCCAUGCCGCGUGUAUGAAGAAGGCCUUCGGGUUGUAAAGUACUUUCAGCGGGGAGGAAGGUGUUGUGGUUAAUAACCGCAGCAAUUGACGUUACCCGCAGAAGAAGCACCGGCUAACUCCGUGCCAGCAGCCGCGGUAAUACGGAGGGUGCAAGCGUUAAUCGGAAUUACUGGGCGUAAAGCGCACGCAGGCGGUCUGUCAAGUCGGAUGUGAAAUCCCCGGGCUCAACCUGGGAACUGCAUUCGAAACUGGCAGGCUUGAGUCUUGUAGAGGGGGGUAGAAUUCCAGGUGUAGCGGUGAAAUGCGUAGAGAUCUGGAGGAAUACCGGUGGCGAAGGCGGCCCCCUGGACAAAGACUGACGCUCAGGUGCGAAAGCGUGGGGAGCAAACAGGAUUAGAUACCCUGGUAGUCCACGCCGUAAACGAUGUCUACUUGGAGGUUGUGCCCUUGAGGCGUGGCUUCCGGAGCUAACGCGUUAAGUAGACCGCCUGGGGAGUACGGCCGCAAGGUUAAAACUCAAAUGAAUUGACGGGGGCCCGCACAAGCGGUGGAGCAUGUGGUUUAAUUCGAUGCAACGCGAAGAACCUUACCUGGUCUUGACAUCCACAGAAGAAUCCAGAGAUGGAUUUGUGCCUUCGGGAACUGUGAGACAGGUGCUGCAUGGCUGUCGUCAGCUCGUGUUGUGAAAUGUUGGGUUAAGUCCCGCAACGAGCGCAACCCUUAUCCUUUGUUGCCAGCGAUUAGGUCGGGAACUCAAAGGAGACUGCCAGUGAUAAACUGGAGGAAGGUGGGGAUGACGUCAAGUCAUCAUGGC
rnacentral:rRNA from 1 species